rfam:Hordeum vulgare subsp. vulgare, WGS project CAJW01000000 data, contig: morex_contig_1584529
AACCUACUCCCUUUGUCCCAUAAUUCUUGUCUUAGGUUGUCUAAAAAUGAAUGUAUCUAAAUAUUAAAACGUGGCUAGAUACAUUCAUAUCUAGAUAAAUCUAAGACAAAAAAUUUGGGACGGAGGGAGUAUAUG